GCGUGGGCGAUGAAGGCCUUCGGGUUGUAAAGCCCUUUUCUGUGGGAAGAGGAAGGACGGUACCACAGGAACAAGUCUCGGCUAACUACGUGCCAGCAGCCGCGGUAAAACGUAGGAGGCGAGCGUUAUCCGGAUUUACUGGGCGUAAAGGGCAAGUAGGCGGUAGCACAAGUUGGGUGUGAAAUCUCCCGGCCUAACUGGGAGGGGGCGCUCAAAACUACGCUACUAGAGGGCAGAAGAGGGGGGUGGAACUCCUAGUGUAGCGGUGGAAUGCUC
rnacentral:rRNA from 1 species